rnacentral:rRNA from 1 species
AUACGGAGGGUGCAAGCGUUGUUCGGAAUUAUUGGGCGUAAAGAGCAUGUAGGCGGUUCGUUAAGUCUGAUGUGAAAGCCCGGGGCUCAACCCCGGAAGUGCAUUGGAUACUGGCAGACUUGAGUAUGGGAGAGGAAAGCGGAAUUCCGAGUGUAGGAGUGAAAUCCGUAGAUAUUCGGAGGAACACCAGUGGCGAAGGCGGCUUUCUGGACCAAUACUGACGCUGAGAUGCGAAAGCGUGGGGAGCAAACAGGAUUAGAAACCCCAGUAGUCC